rnacentral:rRNA from 1 species
UACGUAGGGUGCAGGCGUUAAUCGGAAUUACUGGGCGUAAAGCGUGCGCAGGCGGUCUUUUAAGUCAGAUGUGAAAUCCCCGGGCUUAACCUGGGAACUGCGUUUGAAACUGGAAGGCUAGAGUGUGGCAGAGGGGGGGUGGAAUUCCACGUGUAGCAGUGAAAUGCGUAGAGAUGUGGAGGAAUACCGAUGGCGAAGGCAGCCCCCUGGGCCAAUACUGACGCUCAUGCACGAAAGCGUGGGGAGCAAACAGG